UGGAGCAUGCGCAUAGUCAGGUGGAUUGUGGGUAUGCCUCCCGUGAGUGAUGGCCGGAAAAAAAAUGUCGGUCUCUCCCGUCCACAGGCGGCUAAUAGAAGGAUUAAUUUGGAUCAAACAUCACAUCUGAGUCACUUGAUUAAUUGUAACCUGAAUACCAAGGAAUUUCAAACAUGAAAGCAAAAAACACCAUUCACAGUGGGGAGAAACCAUACACCUGUGUGUGUGGGCGAGGCUUCAGUCGAUCAUCUGGUCUGUCAAGACACAAAUGGAGUCACAGCAAGGAGAAACCCUGGAAAUGUCAGGAUUGUGGAAAGGGAUUCAGAUUCCCAUCUGAGCUGGAAACACAUUAUCGCAGUCACACUGGAGAGAGACCUUUCACUUGCCCUGACUGUGGGAAGGGGUUUACAAAUUCUUCUGACCUGCAUACACACCAACGAGUUCACACUGGGGAGAAACCAUUCACCUGCUCUCAGUGUGGGAAGGGAUUCACUCAGUCGUCUGGCCUGCAGAUACACCAGCGGGUUCACACUGGGGAGAGGCCAUUCACCUGCUCUGUCUGUGGGAAGAGUUUCACUAAUUCUUCUGAUCUGCUGAAACACAAGUUGGUUCACACUGGGGAGAGUCGGUUCACCUGUUCAGAGUGUGGAAAAGGAUUCACUAAUUCUUCCAGCCUGCGGAUACACCAGCGAGUUCACACUGUGGAGAGACCAUACACCUGCUCUGAAUGUGGGAAGGGAUUCACUAAUGUUUCCAACCUGCAGAUACACCAGCGAGUUCAUACAAAUGAGAGACCAUUCACCUGCUCUCAGUGUGGGAAGGGAUUCAGAGAUUCUUCCAACCUGAUGUCACAUCAACGUGUUCACACUGAUGAGAGACCAUUCAGAUGCUCCCUAUGUGACACGAGGUUUAGUCGUUUAUCUGACCUCACUAGACACCAGCGGACUCACACACAGGAGAGACCAUUUACCUGCCCUGAGUGUGGGAAAGGGUUCACUCAGUCAUCUGGUCUGCUGAUACACCGGCGAAUUCACACAGCAGAAAGGCCAUUUACCUGCUCUGAGUGUGGGAAGGGAUUCAGUGAUUCAUCGAACCUUCGCACUCAUCAGCGAGUUCACAGUGAUGAGAGACCAUUCAGAUGCUCCCAUUGUGUGUCUCGGUUCAAACGUUUAUUUGAACUCACCAGACACCAGCGGACUCACACGAGGGAGAAACCAUUCACCAGACCUUAGUGUGGGAAGCAGUUGACUCAGUUAUCCAUCCCACUGAGAAACCAGGGAAUACCUAGGCAGCUCCAGAUGGAGGUGAAGGCCAUUCUCGAUUAGGACAUCAGUGAACCACGCCAGAGUGAGUGGAGUUCGCCGAUCAGCUUACUUCCCAAAAAGACAGGACACAACAAUUCUGCACGAAUUAUUGGAAAGUCAACGUCAUUAAAACAUUGGACUCAUAUCUAAUUCCUCGACUGGAGGACUGUAUCGAGAAAGUCAGACAAGCCAAUUACAUCACCAAGUUGGACUUCAUGCUUCGUUGCUGGCAAUUAUCUUUAUUAGAGAUGGCAAAAGAAAUUUAUGUGUCUGAUGCCCUUUGGAAUGAAGACCGCACCUGCCGCAUUCCAAAGACUCAUGAACCGAGUUGUGGCUGUGUUUACAAACCGUGCAGUCUAUUUGGACCAUGUAGUGAUCUUUAAUCAGUCCUGGAAAGAUUACAUGGUAGAGUUGGCAGAGAGUUUAGAUGAGAUUUGCCUUUAUUUAUAUAUAUAAAUGGGAAGAGGUUAAGGUGAACUUAUACUAAGGUUAUCUGUAUGUUAAAGUAACGUGUUUAAAAUAUAAAGAAAACACUGAAGCCAUCUUUUCCUUAUGAUGGUCCAUCAUUACCUUCGGGGGAGGUGUUCUGAAAAUGUGGGUUUACUGUACCUUUAAGAGAGCUAAAAUCUAGAAAGUACUAUCUGACAUAACCAAGUGUUCUCAAUAAGAUACACCAUAAAAGGUGCUCCAGCUACUGGGGUAGGUGGUGUUGCUGGUUGCCUGGAAGUGAUGAACAGAUUUGAAUUAGGCCAAUCAGUUUGAAUUAUGCCUUGAAAAAUACCAAACUCCAAUCCAAUUUGAAUUUAGUAUAUUGACAAUCUUAAAGGUCAAUGACACAAUUCAAUGUAUUGGUGGUAUAAGACGAGGGAGAAUUAAACAGUUGAGAGGAGAUCUGCCAUGUAAAAAGACUCCAUGAAGAAUAGCUCUCUAAAAAGUACCUUUAUAGAUCAGUAACCCGUGAAGCAGAAUCCCCAAGAAGAAAAGAAGACCGAAAUACAGAGAAACACGAAAGCUGCCUGGUUUU